GAAUCUGUAGCCAAGCAGGUUAAGGCAACGGUCUGCAAAACCGUCAUCGUGGGUUCGAUUCCCAUCAGGUUCU
rnacentral:tRNA from 1 species